GUAGUCCACGCCCUAAACGAUGGAUACUAGUCGUGAGAGGUAUCGACCCCUCUCGUGACCGUAGCUAACGCGUUAAGUAUCCCGCCUGGGGACUACGGCCGCAAGGUUGAAACUCAAAUGAAUUGACGGGGACCCGCACAAGCGGUGGAGCAUGUGGUUUAAUUCGAUACUAACCGAAGAACCUUACCCAGGUUUGACAUCGAUCGCAAAGCGCUGAAAGGCGCUCCUCCCCCACAAGGGGACGUGAAGACAGAUGUUGCAUGGCUGUCGUCAGCUCGUGCCGUGAGGUGUACGGUUAAGUCCGCCAACGAGCGCAACCCACGUUCUGUGUUACCAGCGAGUAAAGUCGGGCACUCACAGGAGACCGCCGGUGUAAGCCGGA
rnacentral:rRNA from 1 species